CCUACGGGUGGCAGCAGUCGAGAAUCUUUCACAAUGGGGGAAACCCUGAUGCUGCGACGCCGCGUGGGGGAAUGAAGGUCUUCGGAUUGUAAACCCCUGUCAUGUGGGAGCAAAUGAAAAAGCUAGUAUCACAAGAGGAAGAGACGGCUAACUCUGUGCCAGCAGCCGCGGUACUACAGAGGACUCAAGCGUUGUUCGGAUUCACUGGGCGUAAAGGGUGCGUAGGCGGUUUCGUAAGUCGUGGGUGAAAAGCGCGGGAUCAACCCGCGGAGUGCAAAUGAUACUGUGAGUCUAGAGUUAUGGAGGGGUAGCCGGAAUGCUCGGUGUAGCAGUGAAAUGCGUAGAGAUC
rnacentral:rRNA from 1 species